rnacentral:rRNA from 1 species
AGAGUUUGAUCAUGGCUCAGGACGAACGCUGGCGGCGCGCUUAACACAUGCAAGUCGAGCGAGAACCGGUUCUUCGGAACCGGGGAAAGCGGCGAACGGGUGAGUAACACGUGAGUAAUCCACCCUCGGCACCGGGAUAGCCCGGGGAAACUCGGAUUAAUACCGGAUGGCCCAGCAGCUCUUCGGGGCGGUUGGGAAAGGUAGCUUCGGCCUCCGGCCGAGGACGAGCUCGCGGCGGAUUAGCUUGUUGGUGGGGUAAUGGCCUACCAAGGCGACGAUCCGUAGCUGGUCUGAGAGGACGAUCAGCCACACUGGGACUGAGACACGGCCCAGACUCCUACGGGAGGCAGCAGUGGGGAAUCUUGCACAAUGGGCGAAAGCCUGAUGCAGCGACGCCGCGUGAGGGAAGAAGGCUUUCGGGUUGUAAACCUCUUUCAGGAGGGACGAAGCUACUCGGGUUAAUAGCCCAGAGGGUGACGGUACCUCCAGAAGAAGCCCCGGCUACUACGUGCCAGCAGCCGCGGUA